GAUGGGCAACACUUGUUAGAGAUAUUUAGACCAAGUUAAAACAGGUUAAAGUAAGUCACGCAGAUAUCGACUGCGCUGCCUGGAGGCCUUUGUCACGUUUUAAAUCUUUGCCUGUUGCCGUCACGUUGGCGGCACAACUUCCCUCGUAUGGAAACUCGGUCACACUCCUGUUGACGUUCACGUUGCCUACGUUACAUCCUUUUGAGUGAAGUUAAAGUUACGUUCAGGGGACAAAUGGGACUUACUUGGCGCUGGUGAUCUGUGGCGGAAAGUGAACAAUCUGGAUAGAGACGCAACGCAGUUUCCUGCUUCUCAGGGGCCUGGGUGCUAUGAAGGGCCUUGGUGUCCCCAUCAGAGUCCCAAUCAUCCUGAAAAUGGAGCAGAAUAAGGAAUUGAGCAAGGAGGUGUGGACAUGUUCAUCCUGGGAGGGUGCUGACGGCCAUCAGCCAUCAGGGGGCUGCCCUACACCAACCUGGGUCUUCCUGCCAUUCGUCGGCAGGUCGUUCCGUCGUCAGAGUUAUGCAUUCGGGCCAUCUGGUAACUCCUGUGGAUUAGACGCUGGUUUUUAUUGCCCUGGUGUACCGGGAUCCCUACCUGACUGCUGGCUGGCUCUCCGAGGUCAUUACCCCCCACCAGACUCAACCGUGUCCACCUUUUUUUGUGCGUGAAUAAAGACGUUAUCUCCCAGGAAACCUCACCCAUGAGUCCUGUGUGCUGCGCUUGGGUCCACGUCCAUUUACCU